CGGUCAGCCACAAGGGCACUGAGACACGGGCCCUACGUCUACGGACGGCUGCAAUCGGGAAUUGUUCGCAAUGGGGGAAACCCUGACGACGCGACGCCGCGUGAAGGAUGAAGGCCUUCGGGUUGUAAACUUCUUUUACCCGCCAUAACGGCGGGGGAAUAAGCCGCUACUAACUACGUGCCAGAAGUCUCGGUAAGGCGUAGGCGGCAAGCGUUAUCCGGAUUUAUUGGGCGUAAAGAGUUUUGUAGGCGGUUGCCAUAAUUUUGUCUUAAAUCCUCUGGCUUAACUAGAGAAAUGGGCAGAAAAUUGGGCGACUUGACCGUUAGGGGGAAGACCGGAACUUGCAGUGGAGGGGUGAAAUCCGUUGAGAUUGCAAGGAACACCAAGGGCGAAGGCAGGUCUUUAACUAACUGGUGACGCUGAGGAACGAAAGCUUGGGGAGCGAAAGGGAUUAGAGACCCCUGUAGUCCAAGCUGUAAACAAUGCCCGCUAGAUGUUCCCCUCCGAUUCGGAGGGGGGUGUCGAAGCUAACGCAUUAAGCGGGCCGCCUGGGGAGUACGGCCGCAAGGCUGAAACUCAAAGGAAUUGGCGGGGACCUGCACAACCAGGGGAGCGUGUGGUUUAAUUCGAGACGAAGCGAAGAACCUUACCUGGGCUUGAAACCUCGACGUUCUAGUCCCGAGAAAUCGGGAUAAGUCCGUAAGGAGGUCGAGAUCAGCUGCUGCAUGGCUGUCGUCAGCUCUAGGCGUGAGCUGUAGGCUUAAGUGCCUCAUAGAGCGCAACCCCCGCCCCGUGUUAAAUAAUCACGGGGGACGGUCCCCUGCUUAGCAGGGGAAGGAAGGAGGGGAUGAUGUCAAGUCAGCACGGUGCUUAUGUCCAGGGCCACACACACACUACAAUGGACGAUAACAAUGAGUUGCGACCCGGCAACGGGAAGCUAAACCCUUAAAUUCGUCCUCAGUUGGGAUUGAGGGCUGCAAUUCGCCCUCAUGAACCCGGACUUGGUAGUAAUCGCGGAUCAGCAAGCCGCGGUGAAUACGUUCUCAGGUCUUGCACACACUGCCCGUCAGUCCAGCAAAGCUGGGAGUAGCCGAAGCCCUCCGAUUCGGAGGGUUAAGCUGAGCUCAGUGAUGAGGGACAAGUCGUAACAAGGUAUCCGUACUGGAAGGUGUGGAUGGAUCACCUCCUUUCUAAAGGAG
rnacentral:rRNA from 1 species